rnacentral:rRNA from 1 species
GACGAACGCUGGCGGCGUGCUUAACACAUGCAAGUCGAACGGAAAGGCCCUGCUUUUGUGGGGUGCUCGAGUGGCGAACGGGUGAGUAACACGUGAGUAACCUGCCCUUGACUUUGGGAUAACUUCAGGAAACUGGGGCUAAUACCGGAUAGGAGCUCCUGCUGCAUGGUGGGGGUUGGAAAGUUUCGGCGGUUGGGGAUGGACUCGCGGCUUAUCAGCUUGUUGGUGGGGUAGUGGCUUACCAAGGCUUGACGGGUAGCCGGCCUGGGAGGGUGACCGGCCACAUUGGGACUGAGAUACGGCCCAGACUCCUACGGGAGGCAGCAGUGGGGAAUAUUGCACAAUGGGCGGAAGCCUGAUGCAGCAACGCCGCGUGCGGGAUGACGGCCUUCGGGUUGUAAACCGCUUUCGCCUGUGACGAAGCGUGAGUGACGGUAAUGGGUAAAGAAGCACCGGCUAACUACGUG